CCUACGGGCGGCAGCAGUGGGGAAUAUUGGACAAUGGGGGAAACCCUGAUCCAGCGACGCCGCGUGAGUGAAGAAGUAUUUCGGUAUGUAAAGCUCUAUCAGCAGGGAAGAAAAUGACGGUACCUGACUAAGAAGCCCCGGCUAACUACGUGCCAGCAGCCGCGGUAAUACGUAGGGGGCAAGCGUUAUCCGGAUUUACUGGGUGUAAAGGGAGCGCAGACGGCGAAGCAAGUCUGAAGUGAAAUGCAUGGGCUCAACCCAUGAAUUGCUUUGGAAACUGUUUGGCUUGAAUGUCGGAGGGGUAAGCGGAAUUCCUAGUGUAGCGGUGAAAUGCGUAGAUAUUAGGAGGAACACCGGAGGCGAAGGCGGCUUACUGGGCGACAACUGACGUUGAGGCUCGAAGGCGUGGGGAGCAAACAGGAUUAGAUACCCUAGUAGUC
rnacentral:rRNA from 1 species